rnacentral:rRNA from 1 species
UCUACGGGGGGCAGCAGUGGGGAAUAUUGCACAAUGGGCGAAAGCUGAUGCAGCGACGCCGCGUGAGGGAUGACGGCCUUCGGGUUGUAAACCUCUUUCAGCAGGGAAGAAGCGAAAGUGACGGUACCUGCAGAAGAAGCACCGGCUAACUACGUGCCAGCAGCCGCGGUAAU